rnacentral:rRNA from 1 species
UACGGAGGGUGCAAGCGUUAAUCGGAAUUACUGGGCGUAAAGCGCACGCAGGUGGCUGAGUGAGUCGAUUGUGAAAGCCCUGGGCUUAACCUGGGAAUUGCAGUCGAUACUACUCAGCUAGAGUAUGGGAGAGGGUAGUGGAAUUCCCGGUGUAGCGGUGAAAUGCGUAGAUAUCGGGAGGAACAUCAAUGGCGAAGGCGGCUGCCUGGCCCAAUACUGACGCUCAGGUGCGACAGCGUGGGGAGCAAACAGG